AAGUCGUAACAAGGUCUCCGUAGGUGAACCUGCGGAGGGAUCAUUGAUGAAAACAAAUUGGUCGAUGUGCUGGCAAACCAAAGCAUGUGCACUCGAUCAAAAUCCAACCCACACCUGUGCACCUUGAGACCCGACCCUCAUUGGGAACGGUCCCAUUUUUACACGCUUGUCCACGAAUGUAUGUUUGCUUUUGCAAUCUUGUACAACUUUCAACGACGGAUCUCUUGGCUCUCGCAUCGAUGAAGAACGCAGCGAAUUGCGAUAAGUAAUGUGAAUUGCAGGAUUCAGUGAAUCAUCAAAUCUUUGAACGCACCUUGCACCCUUUGGUAUUCCGAAGGGUACGCCCGUUUGAGUGUCGUCGUAACCUCACUUCAGAGCAAUCUGAAUGUGGAUUUGGGAGUUGCCAGGAUAUUGGCCCUCCUCAAAACCCUCAGUGCAAUACUCGAUGUGCCGUACAGGUGUGAUAAUUCACUCACCGUGACAAUGGUGCUCGAGGCCUCUUGCGCUUCUAACUGUCCUUCGGGACAAUUUUGAACAUUUGACCUCAAAUCGGGUGGGACUACCCGCUGAACUUAA
rnacentral:rRNA from 1 species